rnacentral:rRNA from 1 species
GAUCCUGGCUCAGAUUGAACGCUGGCGGCAGGCCUAACACAUGCAAGUCGAGCGGAAACGAGAAGUAGCUUGCUACUUCGGCGUCGAGCGGCGGACGGGUGAGUAAUGCCUAGGAAAUUGCCCUGAUGUGGGGGAUAACCAUUGGAAACGAUGGCUAAUACCGCAUAAUGCCUUCGGGCCAAAGAGGGGGACCUUCGGGCCUCUCGCGUCAGGAUAUGCCUAGGUGGGAUUAGCUAGUUGGUGAGGUAAUGGCUCACCAAGGCGACGAUCCCUAGCUGGUCUGAGAGGAUGAUCAGCCACACUGGAACUGAGACACGGUCCAGACUCCUACGGGAGGCAGCAGUGGGGAAUAUUGCACAAUGGGCGCAAGCCUGAUGCAGCCAUGCCGCGUGUAUGAAGAAGGCCUUCGGGUUGUAAAGUACUUUCAGCAGUGAGGAAGGGGUGUACGUUAAUAGCGUGCAUCCUUGACGUUAGCUGCAGAAGAAGCACCGGCUAACUCCGUGCCAGCAGCCGCGGUAAUACGGAGGGUGCGAGCGUUAAUCGGAAUUACUGGGCGUAAAGCGCAUGCAGGUGGUUCGUUAAGUCAGAUGUGAAAGCCCGGGGCUCAACCUCGGAACUGCAUUUGAAACUGGCGGGCUAGAGUACUGUAGAGGGGGGUAGAAUUUCAGGUGUAGCGGUGAAAUGCGUAGAGAUCUGAAGGAAUACCAGUGGCGAAGGCGGCCCCCUGGACAGAUACUGACACUCAGAUGCGAAAGCGUGGGGAGCAAACAGGAUUAGAUACCCUGGUAGUCCACGCCGUAAACGAUGUCUACUUGGAGGUUGUGGCCUUGAGCCGUGGCUUUCGGAGCUAACGCGUUAAGUAGACCGCCUGGGGAGUACGGUCGCAAGAUUAAAACUCAAAUGAAUUGACGGGGGCCCGCACAAGCGGUGGAGCAUGUGGUUUAAUUCGAUGCAACGCGAAGAACCUUACCUACUCUUGACAUCUACAGAAGCCAGCGGAGACGCAGGUGUGCCUUCGGGAACUGUGAGACAGGUGCUGCAUGGCUGUCGUCAGCUCGUGUUGUGAAAUGUUGGGUUAAGUCCCGCAACGAGCGCAACCCUUAUCCUUGUUUGCCAGCGAGUAAUGUCGGGAACUCCAGGGAGACUGCCGGUGAUAAACCGGAGGAAGGUGGGGACGACGUCAAGUCAUCAUGGCCCUUACGAGUAGGGCUACACACGUGCUACAAUGGCGCAUACAGAGGGCAGCCAACCAGCGAUGGUGAGCGAAUCCCAAAAAGUGCGUCGUAGUCCGGAUUGGAGUCUGCAACUCGACUCCAUGAAGUCGGAAUCGCUAGUAAUCGUGAAUCAGAAUGUCACGGUGAAUACGUUCCCGGGCCUUGUACACACCGCCCGUCACACCAUGGGAGUGGGCUGCAAAAGAAGUAGGUAGUUUAACCUUUCGGGGAGGACGCUUACCACUUUGUGGUUCAUGACUGGGGUGAAGUCGUAACAAGGUAGCCCUAGGGGAACCUGCGGCUG